rnacentral:rRNA from 4 species
AGACCCGAAACCCGGUGAUCUAGCCAUGGGCAGGUUGAAGGUUGGGUAACACUAACUGGAGGACCGAACCGACUAAUGUUGAAAAAUUAGCGGAUGACCUGUGGCUGGGGGUGAAAGGCCAAUCAAACCGGGAGAUAGCUGGUUCUCCCCGAAAGCUAUUUAGGUAGCGCCUCGUGAAUUCAUCUCCGGGGGUAGAGCACUGUUUCGGCUAGGGGGCCAUCCCGGCUUACCAACCCGAUGCAAACUGCGAAUACCGGAGAAUGUUAUCACGGGAGACACACGGCGGGUGCUAACGUCCGUCGUGAAGAGGGAAACAACCCAGACCGCCAGCUAAGGUCCCAAAGUCAUGGUUAAGUGGGAAACGAUGUGGGAAGGCCCAGACAGCCAGGAUGUUGGCUUAGAAGCAGCCAUCAUUUAAAGAAAGCGUAAUAGCUCACUGGUCGAGUCGGCCUGCGCGGAAGAUGUAACGGGGCUAAACCAUGCACCGAAGCUGCGGCAGCGACACUCAGGUGUUGUUGGGUAGGGGAGCGUUCUGUAAGCCUGUGAAGGUGUGUCGUGAGGCAUGCUGGAGGUAUCAGAAGUGCGAAUGCUGACAUAAGUAACGAUAAAGCGGGUGAAAAGCCCGCUCGCCGGAAGACCAAGGGUUCCUGUCCAACGUUAAUCGGGGCAGGGUGAGUCGACCCCUAAGGCGAGGCCGAAAGGCGUAGUCGAUGGGAAACGGGUUAAUAUUCCCGUACUUGGUGUUACUGCGAAGGGGGGACGGAGAAGGCUAUGUUGGCCGGGCGACGGUUGUCCCGGUUUAAGCGUGUAGGCUGGUUUUCCAGGCAAAUCCGGAAAAUCAAG